AACGUAGGACACGAGCGUUAUCCGGAAUUACUGGGCGUAAAGCGCCUGCAGGCGGCACAAUAAGUCAUGCGUGAAAGCGCUCGGCUAAACUGGGCGAGGACGGAUGAUACUGUUGAGCUAGAGGGUGAUAGAGGCGAGUGGAAUUCCGCGUGUAGUGGUGAAAUGCGUAGAGAUGCGGAGGAACACCAGUGGCGAAGGCGGCUCGCUGGGUCACACCUGACGCUGAGAGGCGAAAGCAUGGGGAGCGAACGGG
rnacentral:rRNA from 1 species